UACGUAGGUGGCAAGCGUUGUCUGGAUUUAUUGGGCGUAAAGCGCGCGCAGGCGGUCCUUUAAGUCUGAUGUGAAAUCUUGCGGCUCAACCGCAAGCGGUCAUUGGAAACUGGGGGACUUGAGUACAGAAGAGGAAAGCGGAAUUCCACGUGUAGCGGUGAAAUGCGUAGAGAUGUGGAGGAACACCAGUGGCGAAGGCGGCUUUCUGGUCUGUAACUGACGCUGAGGCGCGAAAGCGUGGGGAGCAAACAGG
rnacentral:rRNA from 1 species